rnacentral:pre_miRNA from 1 species
AGCGCAAUUGCUGGAGCAUAUGGUAAGAGUAUGUUUAGUUUUGUAAGAAACCUCCAAACUGCCUUCCAAAGUGGCUGCACCAUUUUGCAUUUCCACUAGCAAU